rnacentral:rRNA from 1 species
GACGAACGCUGGCGGCGUGCUUAACACAUGCAAGUCGAACGGAAAGGCCCUGCUUUUGUGGGGUGCUCGAGUGGCGAACGGGUGAGUAACACGUGAGUAACCUGCCCUUGACUUUGGGAUAACUGCAGGAAACUGGGGCUAAUACCGGAUAGGAGCUCCGGCUGCAUGGUGGGGGUUGGAAAGUUUCGGCGGUUGGGGAUGGACUCGCGGCUUAUCAGCUUGUUGGUGGGGUAGUGGCUUACCAAGGCUUUGACGGGUAGCCGGCCUGAGAGGGUGACCGGCCACAUUGGGACUGAGAUACGGCCCAGACUCCUACGGGAGGCAGCAGUGGGGAAUAUUGCACAAUGGGCGGAAGCCUGAUGCAGCAACGCCGCGUGCGGGAUGACGGCCUUCGGGUUGUAAACCGCUUUCGCCUGUGACGAAGCGUGAGUGACGGUAAUGGGUAAAGAAGCACCGGCUAACUACGUG